rnacentral:rRNA from 1 species
UACGUACCGUCCAAACGUUAUUCGGAAUUCCUGGGCUUAAAGGGUACGUAGGCGGCGCUGUCAGUCGGGUGUGAAAUCCCAGGGCUCAACCCUGGAACUGCGCCCGAUACCGCAGUGCUUGAGGGAGACAGAGGUAAGCGGAACUGAUGGUGGAGCGGUGAAAUGCGUUGAUAUCAUCAGGAACACCAGUGGCGAAAGCGGCUUACUGGGUCUCUUCUGACGCUGAGGUACGAAAGCCAGGGGAGCGAAGGGG